rnacentral:rRNA from 1 species
AUUGAACGCUGGCGGCAGGCCUAACACAUGCGAGUCGAGCGGAUGAAGGGAGCUUGCUCCUGGAUUCAGCGGCGGACGGGUGAGUAAUGCCUAGGAAUCUGCCUGGUAGUGGGGGAUAACGUCCGGAAACGGGCGCUAAUACCGCAUACGUCCUGAGGGAGAAAGUGGGGGAUCUUCGGACCUCACGCUAUCAGAUGAGCCUAGGUCGGAUUAGCUAGUUGGUGGGGUAAAGGCCUACCAAGGCGACGAUCCGUAACUGGUCUGAGAGGAUGAUCAGUCGAACGGAAACUGGACACGGUUCCAGAUUCUUACGGGAGGCAGCGGGGGGAAAUAUUGAACAAGGGGCAAAAGCCGAUCCAGCCAUGCCGCGUGUGUGAAGAAGGUCUUCGGAUUGUAAAGCACUUUAAGUUGGGAGGAAGGGCAGUAAGUUAAUACCUUGCUGUUUUGACGUUACCAACAGAAUAAGCACCGGCUAACUUCGUG